UAAUACCGCAUAAGAACUGAGGUUGAAAGCGGCGGACCGCAAGGCGUCGCGCGAUUGGAUGAACCGAUGUCCGAUUAGCUAGUUGGCGGGUAAAGGCCCACCAAGGCGACGAUCGGUAGCUGGUCUGAGAGGACGACCAGCCACACUGGAACUGAGACACGGUCCAGACUCCUACGGGAGGCAGCAGUGGGAAUAUUGGACAAUGGGCGCAAGCCUGAUCCAGCCAUGCCGCGUGGGUGAAGAAGGCCUUCGGGUUGUAAAGCCCUUUUGUCCGGAAAGAAAAGCAUUCGGUUAAUACCCGGGUGUUCUGACGGUACCGGAAGAAUAAGCACCGGCUAACUUCGUG
rnacentral:rRNA from 1 species